rnacentral:rRNA from 1 species
CUGCGAAUGGCUCAUUAAAUCAGUUAUCGUUUAUUUGAUAGUACCUUACUACUUGGAUAACCGUGGUAAUUCUAGAGCUAAUACAUGCUAAAAAUCCCGACCUCUGGAAGGGAUGUAUUUAUUAGAUAAAAAACCAAUGCCUUCGGGCUUCUUGGUGAUUCAUGAUAACUUUACGAAUCGCAUGGCCUUGUGCCGGCGAUGGUUCAUUCAAAUUUCUGCCCUAUCAACUUUCGAUGGUAGGAUAGUGGCCUACCAUGGUUUCAACGGGUAACGGGGAAUUAGGGUUCGAUUCCGGAGAGGGAGCCUGAGAAACGGCUACCACAUCCAAGGAAGGCAGCAGGCGCGCAAAUUACCCAAUCCCGACACGGGGAGGUAGUGACAAUAAAUACUGAUACAGGGCCCUUUCGGGUCUUGUAAUUGGAAUGAGUACAAUUUAAACCCUUUAACGAGGAACAAUUGGAGGGCAAGUCUGGUGCCAGCAGCCGCGGUAAUUCCAGCUCCAAUAGCGUAUAUUAAAGUUGUUGCAGUUAAAAAGCUCGUAGUUGAACUUUGGGUCUAGGUGACUGGUCUGCGUCUACCGCACGUACUGGAAACCCGGAUCUUUCCUUCUGGAGAACCGCAUGCACUUUACUGGGUGUGCCGGGGAACCAGGACUUUUACUUUGAAAAAAUUAGAGUGUUCAAAGCAGGCAUUUGCUCGAAUACAUUAGCAUGGAAUAAUAAAAUAGGACGUGCGGUUCUAUUUUGUUGGUUUCUAGGACCGCCGUAAUGAUUAAUAGGGAUAGUCGGGGGCAUCCGUAUUCGAUUGUCAGAGGUGAAAUUCUUGGAUUUUUCGAAGACGAACUACUGCGAAAGCAUUUGCCAAGGAUGUUUUCAUUAAUCAGGAACGAAAGUUGAGGGAUCGAAGACGAUCAGAUACCGUCGUAGUCUCAACCAUAAACUAUGCCGACUAGGGAUUGGGCGACUGUGUUAUUUGAGUUGCUCA